rnacentral:rRNA from 1 species
AACGCGCGGAAAGGAGUGGGCUGCAUUAUUGCGGCUUAAGGUACGUGCUAAACCCUUGGGAAACCAAGCUCGCAGGAUUAGACCCGAUAUGUCGAAGUCUGCGAGGGCCGAGAGGCUGGAUCCGGAGCCCGAUGGGUGUCCCGGAAGUGCUGUGAUGCCCUUAGAUGUUCUGGGCUGCACGCGCGCUACACUGACAGAGCCAACGAGUUUUUCUCCUUGACCGAAAGGUCUGGGUAAUCUUGUGAAACUCU